AUUUUCAUUAUAUUUUUCUCAACAAAGAAGAGAACAGAGAAAGAUCUGAAAACAACCGUACGCGUCUCACUCCAAACAAACCGCUCCUCCGUCUCACUCUAAAAACAACCGUACGCGUCUCCAUCUCACUCCAAACUCACAAACUGCUCCUCCGUUUUAGAUCUGAACACGCAGCUUCUCUGUUAGUGAACACGACGCUUCAAGCUUCUCAGUUAGUGAACACGCCGCUUCUCACCACUGUUGUUUGAUUUCGUUAACCUCACUUCCUUUUCAAUUUAUGAUUUCUAUUUGGUUUCAAUAAAUUUCGUUAGGGUUUUAUAAUUUCUCUACUUCGGGUUUCAAUCAUUUAUCUAAUUAGGGUUUCCUUCUUCUUAUGAAUGAAUUGAUUUGUCAUUGAAAAGAUUUGAAAUGUUUUCUGUGUGCUUUUUGUAGGACUGGUUAUAGGACUGCAUAUAGUGUUGGUUGAUUGAAGGUUGAUUGUUAGAGGAAGGGAGUAACAACAAGAAAGAAUCAUUUGAGCCUCGAUUUAAAUUUAUGACUAUUGAAGCUCUUGCAAAGAGAUAUUGCAAGCUUAGCAUUUCAAAGAAGUGGGCUACACAUAGACAAAAUUUGUGGGUUACCUUCUAUGAUCCAUCAAAAUCCCGAGAUGAAAUCAUAAGUAAUGUUCCUAGAGGUAUAAACCCAAUUCAAUGGGCUCAUUUUGUAAACUACCGUUUGAAACCAGAAACGCAGGAGCAUUGUAGAAAAAAUAAAGAAAAUCGAAGCAAACAAGUUAUUCCUCAUACUGAUGGUUCUAAACAUCUUUCGAGAAAAAGACAUGAGAUGGUAGUUUUACUAAAUUAACUUCAUAUUUUUACCAAAUAUAAUUUACUACCAAUUUUGACAUAUUUUCUGUUUUAGUUUU